UUUUGCUUUGUUGCUUAAUUAAUUCGUUUUUUGAAAGCCAGCGUCCUUUGAGCCAGAUGAACACAUGUGUAGGUUGCCUGGGACAGUCCCAUCUCGCCCGCGUUCUCUUAGCUUAACUAGGACUAGCACCCCAUCUAGCCCUCUCUGCAGUGCUCUGACAUAGGUGCUGAGCUCUCUGGCCACACUGCCUCUUGGUACUCAAGUGCAGUGGCCUCUUUUGCUCAUUUGUGUUAACUUUGUGUCAGUUUUGGCCAAAUGUUGAUGAAGAGCUCAGGCUUUGAUAAAAAACAGGUGUGACUUUAAAUCCCAGAACCUCAUCUAUACACAACCCUGAGCUUCAGUGUUUUUAUCAGAAAUCAGAGGAAUAAGAGUGAUUGUACCUACUUCAUAGGGCAGCUGCUGGCUUCAGAGGGUGCUUAUAGUACCUGCUGUGGCCCUGGGCAUGAGGGACAUCUUAGUAAUUAGUUUUAUAAUUGCUAGACCUCUGUUGGCUCCAGUAAAAAACUGCUUGCCAUUUUAAAGCAUGGCUGAGUUAUAGAGAUGACUAGAUGUUGACAAGUGCGAGAAUUAUGUGGCAACGGUGAUAUAUAACACCUCUGGUUUCCCUCUACAUAAUCGGCCAGCUCUUCCUGCUCCAUCCUAACAAACUGGGAGAAGGUCUGCUCACUGCUAGGGGCCAGAGAGCAAGUCUCCCUUGCUUACAGCCAUUGGGAGAACACAUUGGUUAUGCUGACAAGGAAGUCACUCAGUCCUUAAAUCAGAACGCCAUCUUCAUCCCCCAGGACAGGAAAGCAGAACUGCCAUCCUUCUACUGUUCAUAGACAUAAGACCCAUUUAAAGGACAUCUCAAAGACAUCUCUCAGGCAGUGCUUGUGACAGUUGGAUGUCACUGAAAGGAAGCUGUCAGUUCGGCACGCGGGCUCAUCAGCACAUUCAGCAUUCUGUCCUUUGGAAGGACCAAUACCAUGUGAAAAAUCUGAGUAAUUGGAGGAGUAAUCUGGGGAGUAAUCUGAAUGAGGAAGAGUAUUUUUGCCCCUGCAGCUGACUCUUUUUUGUUGUUGUUUUUCUUUUUAAAAACCAGCUUUAUUGUGAUUUAUCUACAAUCAAAUGCACGUGUUUUAAGUGUACGGUUUAACAUAACAUUUUGGCAAAUAUAUGCAUCCAUGUAACCAUCACCAUGAUCAAGAUACAGAACAUUUUUAUCACCCUCCCAAAUGGUUUCAUGUCCCUUUCCACUCAAUGCCCCUCACUCCUAGCUCCAGGAAACCUCUGGGUUUUGUUACUAUGGAUUAGGUGUACCUACUCAAAAUUCGCAAAUGAAUGGAACAAUAUGGCAUACACUCUGGUUUCUGGCUUCUUUUAUUCAGCCUGUGGUUUCUGAGAUUCUUCCAUAUUGUGCAUUUCAGAGGUCUUUUCCUUUUGUUUUUGAGUGGUAUUCCAUUGUAUAAAUAUGCCACAAUGUAUCCAUUUACCUGUUGAGGGACAUUUGUGUUGUUUUUAGUUUUGG
ensembl:lncRNA